rnacentral:rRNA from 1 species
AGUAAAUAGAUACCCGGGUAGUCCACGCCGUAAACGAUGAGUACUAGGUGUAGGAGGUAUCGACUCCUUCUGUGCCGCAGUUAAACACAAUAAGUACUCCGCCUGGGAAGUACGGUCGCAAGAUUAAAACUCAAAGGAAUUGACGGGGGCCCGCACAAGCAGCGGAGCAUGUGGUUUAAAUUCGAAGCAACGCGAAGAACCUUACCUAGACUUGACAUCUCCUGAAUAGUGUAGAGAUACAUGAAGCCCUUCGGGGUCGAGGAAGACAGGUGGUGCAUGGUUGUCGUCAGCUCGUGUCGUGAGAUGUUGGGUUAAGUCCCGCAACGAGCGCAACCCUUAUUACUAGUUGCUACCAUUAAGUUGAGCACUCUAGUGAGACUGCCCGGGUUAACCGGGAGGAAGGCGGGGAUGACGUCAAAUCAUCAUGCCCCUUAUGUCUAGGGCAACACACGUGCUACAAUGGUGAGUACAGACAGAUGCGAUACCGCAAGGUGGAGCCAAACUCUAAAA